rnacentral:rRNA from 1 species
ACUCCUACUGGAGGCAGCAGUGGGGAAUAUUGCACAAUGGGCGCAAGCCUGAUGCAGCCAUGCCGCGUGUAUGAAGAAGGCCUUCGGGUUGUAAAGUACUUUCAGCAGUGAGGAAGGUGGGUAUGUUAAUAGCAUAUUCAUUUGACGUUAGCUGCAGAAGAAGCACCGGCUAACUCCGUGCCAGCAGCCGCGGUAAUACGGAGGGUGCGAGCGUUAAUCGGAAUUACUGGGCGUAAAGCGCAUGCAGGUGGUUUGUUAAGUCAGAUGUGAAAGCCCGGGGCUCAACCUCGGAAUUGCAUUUGAAACUGGCAAACUAGAGUACUGUAGAGGGGGGGUAGAAUUUCAGGUGUAGCGGUGAAAUGCGUAGAGAUCUGAAGGAUACCGGUGGCGAAGGCGGCCCCCUGGACAGAUACUGACACUCAGAUGCGAAAGCGUGGGGAGCAAACAGGAUUAGAUACCCUGGUAGGCUCU